rnacentral:tRNA from 1 species
GGAGAGAUGGCAGAGCUGGUCGAAUGCGCCUGAUUCGAAAUCAGGUGUACCCGCAAGGGUACCGGGGGUUCGAAUCCCUCUCUCUCCG